ensembl:lncRNA
UUUCUAUGUGGAGAUUGCUCCUCUUGCAGCCCUUCUGUGAGCCCAGGACACAGUCCUUCAGAAAUGCAUUGGUCUAGAUGGGAAGAGAAGAGAGCUGAAAUACCUUCAGUAUUCUCUGAUCAAUAAUUCAGCCACCCAUCUCAAAACCUCGGCUCAGGCUGCUUCUCAGUUAUAAGUCGUCUCCAUUGACACCAGGAGGAAUUCACAUGGGUACACAUGAAGGAGACUGGCAGAAAACAAAUCAUCUCCAUUUUUUGUGCUUUCAGUCACAUCAUGAAGUGAUCUUAGAGCAUGUGAACUCAUUUUGUUUCAGAUGAAGUUAACAUGGGAGAUACUCCCCAGUUAUCUAUUCAAACAACAGACACAAACUAGAUUUGAAAUGUUCAUCAGGUAUUCAAAGCUGAAAAAUUCAUGAAGUCCUCAGUUCCAAAAUGUAGCCGGAAUCAUCCAUGGCCUGGCAGCUAGGACGUAAGAAAAGAUACGGAACAGCAUUUUUGCUCUUUUUGCAGCUGGCCUAAUCAUUAUAUUUUUAUAUUUAUAAUACAAAACAAAAAAUUGGAGGAACUGGCCAAAACUAUUGCAUUUCCUUUUCAUGGUUGAUAUGUCUUUUGAAGACAAAAAGCUAAUCUUGAAGUAAUACUGCUGAAAUCUAGCUUCAGUAGUUCUAAAUAAAUAUAAUGGAAAGUGGGAUUAAGUCCUCUUCCUCAUUAUUGCUUGUUGAUUAACUUGAGACAGCAUCUGGUAAGCACUCUAGGAACUUUUGCACUGUGGUCUUCUUCUCUCCCUCCUACCCAGCCUUUUCUUCAGAUGAGAACUCAAACACAGAAAUGACAAGGUAAAGAGCCUGAUUACGGGCUCCUCCAUCCCUGGACUUGAAGCACUUGAGCUAGUGGUUUGGUUAGCCCAGCUACGUGGAGGAGCUGCUGUGCCUGGAGGAGACCUGGGCUUUCAGGAGGAUUGUGCUGGGUGGCUCCUACAAAUCCAGUGAAAGUGGAGUUGGUGGAGCCAAACUCCCGGUUUAGAACUACCUAGAUUGCUAUGAAAGCAGUGCCUCCUAUUGAUUUCCAUAAAAAACUACAACAGAUACAAAGAGCACAGUAAUGCUGUUUGAUGGAGAAAGUUCUCAGCUUGAAAACGCUGUUUUUCAACGUAGUUACCACCAGUAGAUACGCAUUUUUGCCAGCGAUGAACAAGAGCCUGCAUGCCAUGCUCAUAAAAAUCUGCACAGCCGUCUGGAAUGUAGCUUGUCUUUCCCACUACUGUUGCCACUGCUGAAACACACCACUCACAACCUCAUUGUAUUCACAUCCACUAUUUGAUCUCCAUAAACGUUCAGCAAGUGUCAAUGGAUGUCAGCGGGUAAAAUUUCUUCCGCAUGAAGGAAUUCAAUGACACACCUUUGCUUCACACACAUUUCCAUGUCAGAUGCUACUUUGUCAGACUGCCCCUCUGCUGCUAUCUGUCAUAGGGCAACAAAAUGUAACGGAAUAUUGGUGAGAAGGUCCAACCUCUACUGCUGUGACACCGACAUCCACCUCUGACAUUGUGGGCCAACAUAAUAAAAUAGGAGGCAUUACUUUUGGAUCAGCCCUUGUACAUAGUCCUUGGUUGAGCAUAACAUUGGUUUUUGUAGGGUAUAAGUACUUCUAAGUAACAUACUCUGUAGGGAAUGUGCCUGGAUUGCAAAGAGAAGUAGCCAUAAUUACUGGGCAGUGUGAUGAGACUUGUUGCAAGGAGAACAGUUUACAAGAAUGAGAUGUAUUUAGCAUAGUAAGGGAAAAACUAUGUUAGGCUUUGAAUCUUCUGUGAUAAGCCUCACGUUCCCUUGUCAGAGUCUAUCAUGUCACCUUUUAAAAAGUUGCUAAAUGUGCUUUAUUCUUUUUGUUCUGCUUCACAAUUAAAACUAAAUCAUCCUGCAGAGGGCUGUCCAUUUUUGUCAGAAGUUGGCAGGUUUGAAAGCAAAAAGUGGUAAUACAAAAGUGACUCAUCUUUGAAGGCACAUUUCCUUUUGAUAGUUAGAUAACAGUAGAAUAAUGAAGUAUUUCAGAGUAUUUAUGCAAAGCAGCAUAUCAUUAAGCCACAAAUAUAGUCUAAUUUCAAAGGACAAAAUUAGGGUGCUUUGAAUCCCCCAGUUUCUAGUCUGUUUUGUAUAUCGUAAGUUGACAGCUGUAGAUCAGAAGACUGACAUGCUCCUGGCAAGGGAUGGGUAUGUGUGAGCAAGAACUUCCUGUAAGAUAUUGACCUGGUCACAGUCAGCUGCUCUGAAAUUUGUUGUUUAUGUAAUCUGUCUAAUAUGUCUAAGGAGCAGCGUAUCAGAAUCAAUCCAUCCAAAUGCCUUUGGAAGAUCAAUAAAAGGAUAAUAAAU